GACGAACGCUGGCGGCGUGCCUAAUACAUGCAAGUAGAACGCUGAAGGAGGAGCUUGCUUCUCUGGAUGAGUUGCGAACGGGUGAGUAACGCGUAGGUAACCUGCCUGGUAGCGGGGGAUAACUAUUGGAAACGAUAGCUAAUACCGCAUAAUAGUAGAUGUUGCAUGACAUUUGCUUAAAAGGUGCAAUUGCAUCACUACCAGAUGGACCUGCGUUGUAUUAGCUAGUUGGUGAGGUAACGGCUCACCAAGGCAACGAUACAUAGCCGACCUGAGAGGGUGAUCGGCCACACUGGGACUGAGACACGGCCCAGACUCCUACGGGAGGCAGCAGUAGGGAAUCUUCGGCAAUGGACGGAAGUCGGACCGAGCAACGCCGCGUGAGUGAAGAAGGUUUUCGGAUCGUAAAGCUCUGUUGUAAGAGAAGAACGAGUGUGAGAGUGGAAAGUUCACACUGUGACGGUAUCUUACCAGAAAGGGACGGCUAACUACGU
rnacentral:rRNA from 1 species